rnacentral:rRNA from 1 species
GUGGGGAAUAUUGGACAAUGGGCGAAAGCCUGAUCCAGCAAUGCCGCGUGAGUGAUGAAGGCCUUAGGGUUGUAAAGCUCUUUUACCAGGGAUGAUAAUGACAGUACCUGGAGAAUAAGCUCCGGCUAACUCCGUGCCAGCAGCCGCGGUAAUACGGAGGGAGCUAGCGUUGUUCGGAAAUACUGGGCGUAAAGCGCACGUAGGCGGUCUAUUAAGUCAGGGGUGAAAUCCCAGAGCUCAACUCUGGAACUGCCCUUGAAACUGCUAGACUGGAAUCUUGGAGAGGUGAGUGGAAUUCCGAGUGUAGAGGUGAAAUUCGUAGAUAUUCGGAAGAACACCAGUGGCGAAGGCGACUCACUGGACAAGUAUUGACGCUGAGGUGCGAAAGCGUGGGGAGCAAACAGGAUUAGAAACCCUAGUAGUCC